rnacentral:lncRNA from 1 species
GAAAAAUAGGAGGGUUCGGGUAAAAAUAUAAGCCCGAAAUAUAAGUUUGGGUAAGAAAUGAGGCCCGUUUUAAAAAUGGGCCGGGUCUCGGGUAAAAUUUUUUUAACCCGGGCCCGACCCGGCCUAAAUUUAAUUAAUAUAUUUUUUAUUUUUAAAAUUUAUUAUUAGUUAUUACUGUCAGUUUUCAUUAAUACAUUUCCCAUUUCUUUUCCCUUCCCUUCCCCAUUUCCCUGACCUCAAAUAAAUCUCUAACCCCUUCCCUUCCUUUUUUUCCCCCAAAUCGGAAAUCCACCUCCACCUCCACCUCCACCUCCACCGAUCCACGACUCCACGACUCGACAGUGCUUCUAGUCUUCUUCGUCUUCUCAAAGGUGAGUUUGCUGUUAACCUUUGAAUUAGUUUUUUGCUUUGUGCUUUGUGCUUUUUAUUUUUAUUCGAAUCAGUUCCCUCAUUCUCUUUCAAUUACAGAGGAAUAGGAAGGUCUAACAGACUAACACAAACAGUAGAUGUAUAAUUUCUUUUGGUUGGAUUAUUUUUCAUUUUAUGUAUAAUUUCUUUUGGUUGGAUUAUUUUUCAUUUGAUGUAUAAUUUCAGAUAUUUGUUGAAAGCCUAGAUGCUAAAACUUCAAUUUCGAUUUUUUUAUUAUUGUUAUUUUUUGCUUUUUAUUUUUAUUUGAAUCAAUUCCCUCACUCUCUUUCAAUUACAGAGGAAUAGGAAGGUCUAACAGACUAACACAAACAGUAGAUGUAUAAUUUCAUUUGGUUGGAUUAUUUUUCAUUUGAUGUAUAAUUUCAGAUAUUUGUUGAAAGCCCAGAUGCUAAAACUUCAAUUUCGAUAUUGUUAUCCUUUAAAAACAUAAAAAUGUAAUGAAAUGAUAAACUUUAAAAUAUUAUAUACAAAAAAAAAUACAAUUUGAUAUUUGAUAUAAAUUCAAUAACAUUUAAUUUUAAUAACAAUUAGUUUUAACUUUUAAGUCAAAAAAAAAAGAGUUGGGCUGGGCUUCAUAUUUUUUUCACGGGCCGGGCUUGGACAAAAUUACAUGCUCAAAUUUUGGACCGGGCCGGAGCCUAAGAAACGGGCUAAAAUUUUUGUCAGCCCGACCCGGCCCAGGAGCACCUCUAAUCAGCACUUAUUUCUCUUAAGUGCAAUCAGAGGAUAAAAUCAAUAACUAAGAUGAGCAUAACAUGUAAUAGAUGGUAACAUCAACAUUGGUGUCCCAACAUGUCAGCAGGCAAAGAAAACUAGCUAUUAUCUAGGUGCUAUCAGAAAGUACGCAUAGCUUACUGCUUGUUCAAGAACGGAAGUUUUAUGGCUAAAUCGAGCAGCUAUACGUGGAAAAAAUACCUGUGAUUACUAUGAUCAAUGAUUAGAUGCUGCAACAAAACUAUGAGAAGUAGACUGCACAAUCUGCUGAAGUAAAAUCCCUUUAGCAAGCUAAGGACGAACUAAAACUUGCAACAAAUUACUUGAGAAGCAAAUUUGUAAAGAAAAGUUAAAAUCAUACCAUUCUACAGCUCCAUGUUCGUCCCGGAUCAUUGUAACAGGCAAUCAUACAAGUAAUUUCGAUAUCAUAGAAUUUUUUUAUUAUUAUUUUUAAUAAAUUUGAUGUAUUAUAUAUUUUUAAAUUUGUUUUAUAUGAUAUUUUUUUUUAAAAAUUAAUGUGGAAAAUCAAUAUACCAAACGUUCAUAUUAUUAUAUAUAUUUUAAAGAAAACAUCAUGUCAAAUAAAUUAACAAAUCAAACGAAAAUUGGUAAGAUUUAGACCUUUUUUUUUUUUGUAAAUGUAAAGAAUUGAAGUUGAUUAAAUUUAACUGAAUCCACACAAAACAUAAAUAUGGGUAUAAUUUCACCUUUUGAAAAGUUUAAAUUAUACUAUUAGUCCCUGUAAUUUAUAAAAAUUAUGGAUUUAACUUUUAUAUUUUAAUUUGGUAAAUUUUAAUUUCUAUACUUUUUUAAAUUUUAAAAUUUCAAUCCUUUUCAAAUGACAAUUGUUAAAUUCAUUAGAUUUUGUUAUUUCCAAAAUUCAAUGCGACAAACAUGUUAUCAUAUAUAUAAUGCCUUAUCAGCUUGUUAAUACUCACUAAAGUUUCAACUAAUGGAUUAAAAACUGUUAUUUUUGUCAAUACUGAAAUUUUAAAAUUUGAAAAAUAUAAAAACUUAUUCCAAUGGAGAAAUAUAGACCAAAUCUACAUGUGUAUGCAUAGUAAAAAAGUAGUAAUUGAAUUUAACCAAAUAAAUUUAAUUACUACGGUUUGAAUUAAGACUAAAAUUUUAAAAUUAAAAAAAUACAAAAACAAAAUCCAAAACUUUUACCAAACAAAAGAAUUUAACCUUUAAAAAACUUCACCGUACGUUUAGAAAUGGAAAAAAGAAAAAGUGAGUGUUGACUUGAAUCUUGAUUGGGUCAAAUUAAACUGGUGGUGUUGGAAACAGUACAAUUGUAUGACACAAAGAAAAGGAAUAAGAAAAAAAAACAUUCAAAGUUAUCGUCCAGCACAAAUAGUUUUCGUACAUCAUAAAUUAUAUAUUUUAAUGGGUUAUUUGAUUAUCUGUUUGUACUGAUGAUGGGUUUUAAUAUUUUUAUGGAACGAUUAACAUAAUAACAAAAAUUUUGUGUAUCAGUCUAAAAAGUUGAACUUUUCUUUGAUUCACUCUAAAACUUAAACUUUGGUUCGGAUUAUGAUUAUACCAUAAAAAUUAACAUAAAACAGAUUUAUUGUCUUAAAAAAUGCAAUGCAAAUCCAACUUGUCAUGAGCCAUGUAAAAUUUAUAUAUUGGUAAUAAGUGCUAGAAUAAUACAAGAAUUAAAUAAUGUCAAUUAACACUAGUUCUGAUGAAUUUCACAACAAUUACAUUUCUUAAAUUUUCUUCCCUCUGAAUUGUUGUGGGUGAAGUUGUAUGUUAUAUAAUACAUCAAUGAGAAAAAAUAAAAAUAAAAAUCUUAUUUUUGACCAGUUUCAUUACUACCGGCCGAUGCAGCACCAAAUUUCACGACGAACUCAGGAAACGCCGGUGGUGCAAGAUGAGGAACACCACCACCACCACGACGGCCUACGGCAUCCAUUUCAG